rnacentral:misc_RNA from 1 species
AACGCAUAUUGCGCCCCUUGGCAUUCCGGGGGGCACACCUGUUCGAGCGCCAUUUCGACCCUCAAGCACAGCUUGGUGUUGGGCACGGUCCCGGGGGACCCGCCCGCAACUCGUAGGCGGCCGCCGCCCGCGCCCCCAGCGUAGCAAGCUCACGCGUUCGCUCGGGGACGGUGUGUCUGGCCCGCCAGGCAAAGCCCAAACCCUUCCCAGGUUUGGCCUCGGAUCAGGUGGGGAUACCCGCUGAACUUAA